AUUGAACGCUGGCGGCAGGCCUAACACAUGCAAGUCGAACGAGUGGCGGACGGGUGAGUAAUGUCUGGGAAACUGCCUGAUGGAGGGGGAUAACUACUGGAAACGGUAGCUAAUACCGCAUACCCUCAGAUGUGCCCAGAUGGGAUUAGUUUGUGGGGGGGGUAAGGGCUCACCAAGGCGACGAUCCCUAGCUGGUCUGAGAGGAUGACCAGCCACACUGGAACGGAGAACCGGUCCAGACUCCUAGGGGAGGCAGCAGUGGGGAAUAUCGGACAAGGGGCGCAAGCCUGAUGCGGCAAGGCCGCGUGUAUGAAGAAGGCCUUCGGGUGGUAAAGUACUUUCAGCGGGGCGGCGUUACCCGCAGAAGAAGCACCGGCUAACUCCGUGCCAGCAGCCGCGGUAAUAC
rnacentral:rRNA from 1 species